GACCGGGGCAGUACAUCUCAAUCUCUUUCCGAAGAAGGUGAAGCCUCUCUGCACAGUAGUAGGCAUACUUAUAAAUAACCACCUCCGAUAUAGGCUUUGAUAUAUUGAGGUUCGGGUAAGCUUCUUAUUUGUUUUUGAAUUUUGGGUGCGAUAUUUCGGUGCAUGCAAUUUUGGGUAAUGCGUAUGACUGCGGUUACCUCUCACUUGAAAUCAAACUCAUAUUGCAAGGUUUUCCUAGCCUUCACGUCUGUGCAAUUUGAUGAGUUUAAGGGAUAGAGUUGCAUGCGACUUUGUAAUAUUUUUUCUUAGUUUUUGGUGGACGAAGAAAAUGAUUGAUCAUGGGGAAUAAUAGUAUGAUCGCUUUCAAAGUGAAGGGUGUGCUCUUUUUCUUAUUUUGACUCAAUUUGUGGUUCUAGCUAAUUUCAACAGAGAGAGGCAGAGACAGGGAGAAUGGGAGAUAGAGUUGCAGCAUGCCUGAAGAUAAGAGAAGAGAGAGGGAGAUAGAGUCUUCUUAUAUUUUGAAAUCGAGCAGGGAGAUAGGUAUUGUGGAUCCAAAAGUGCUAUUGGAACUCUUCACGAUGUACAGGAGUGGCAGGAGGAGAAUGUCAAAAGGCUGAGCCAAAAACAGAUCCUCAUUUGACAAUUGUAACAUCCAUUUACUUCUGUUGUCGUUUCCACAUUUGCCACCUGAUGUGCAGAAUAAUGAUAGAAGGCUUUACAUUUGUGUGAAGAGCUGAAAUCAAUCAGGAAAAACAGAGAAACAAGCAGUAACUUUGUAUCGUCUACAUCAAAACUGAGUGAUUUUUAUUUCAGGAAGGAUGCCGCGUGCAUGUCGACAAAAGAGACUUGGGUGAGCCAGACAGAAUUUUCAGGAAGCUAUUGCAGCCUGCAGUCUAUCUGAAAUUGAUUGAUUUGGGUCUUGACGGAACCAAUCAACUUAGUGGUUGAAAAUGAAAUCCAUCGUGCAGUUCGUGGUGCGGCUGGAAGUGUUAGUGCCAUAGGAAAUUAUGCUCCGGUAAACUGACAUUUACAUAUCAUUUGGUUUCUUAUUUAAAUUUUACCACAUUGGUUUGCCUAUUGCUGCACUAUAGUCAAUUUGCAUUCUGACUGUUUUUAGUUUAUUGCCUUAACUGCAUUCACAGCAUUAUAUAGAGUUAGUUUGAGUGUUUCCUUUUUCUAGAUAGAGAGAAUUUGUGUUUACAUAAUAGGCAAAAAGUAGCAAAGCAGAAGAACUGAUUUCAACUGUACAAUAUGUGAAUGACAACAUUCUGUGAUCACUCUUAAGGUAUUCUUAAUUCACAUAAGUAAUAACUUCACAACAGCUGCUUUGCUUCUAAUGCCUGUCUGUAUGAUAUGAUGGUAUUAGUAUUUGGUAUGUAUAAAAGAAAAGAACUAAGCUAACUAAGCUUCUUUCAAUCUCUAGCUGCACAACUUUUACCGAGUCUCUAACCUCUUUAUUGGUUAUAGACUUCUAGAUAAACCAUGAUUCAUGUACUGUAUAUGUUAUGAUUGGAUAUGAAAAUCAUCUCAUAAGUCACCUGGUUUCAUUUUGCAGACUUACGCUCCAAGAGUCCCAGCUGACCGUGAAUGAGCUUAAAGGAUUAGACCAAUUGAUGUGGAAUUGGCAAGAUUUUUAGUACUUUUGCAGGGAUUUUCUUUCUUCAAUUGCUCCCCACAAUGUCUUAACCACCAACCGACGGCUCACUGAUUUACCAUACUUAGUUUAGUACUAUGACCAAUUGGUUGAUAAACAGUACUGUUUGUAGAUUAGAUAUGUUUGUAAAUGGUGUACUAUUAAGCUUAACCAUAUUGAUAAAGGAACAUACAAGGCAUACUAGCCAAUGUAAUGUCGUUAUCGGCGAAGUCACUUGCUCGAGUCCUCCAUGGAGUUCAUCCUC